GACGAAGGUGGCUAGCGUUAUUCGGAUUUACUGGGCAUAAAGCGCGCGUAGGCGGCUUGGUAAGUCGGAGGUGAAAGCCUGCAGCUCAACUGCGGAAUUGCCCCCGAGACUGCCGAGCUUGAGUGCGGGAGGGGUGACUGGAACUCCAGGUGUAGCGGUGAAAUGCGUAGAUAUCUGGAGGAACACCGGAGGCGAAGGCGGGUCACUGGACCGCAACUGACGCUGAGGCGCGAAAGCUAGGGGAGCGAACAGG
rnacentral:rRNA from 1 species